UUUUUACUUCUAAAAAAUUAUCCUUUAAGUGAAGAGACUUAAAUAAAAUAAAAAGACAAAAAGNCCCUAUUGAGCUUUAUUUCAUAAGUUAAACUUCUAUAGCCCAUGCAAAAGAACCUUACCUAUAGAAAUUUUGUUGGGGCGACAAGAGAAGACCUAAAUCUUCUCUAUACUACAAGAAUAUUCCUCUACUAAUGAUCCGUAAUAAACGAUUAACAGAACCAGCUACCAUAGGGAUAACAGGCUAAUCUUCUUUGAGAGCCCAAAUUGACAAGAAGGAUUGGCACCUCGAUGUUGGCUUAGGAUACCUGAUAGAUGCAGAA
rnacentral:rRNA from 1 species